rnacentral:sRNA from 1 species
GCGAUACAUAGGGAAAAGGAGUGUCGCUACUGCUGGAUACUGGACGUAUGUUACGUACGUUUGCGGAACCUGCCAAAAUAAUAAAAUAAAGGGCGCACACAGGAAUCUAGUAAGGUACGAUGAGCGAGGAGUACGUGGGGUAUGAGUACUUAUAUCUCUUGGCAUCAGAUAAAACGAACCAGCGUCAACAAACCAUGAUGUAUAAAUUAUGAACCAGCUGUGGAUCUAUGAUGUCUAGUCCCCAUCUGUCCUUUUGAGCAUGAAGGAUACCAUAGCACAUGGGAAGCCAAUCGUCUAAACCAUCAUACGAACCUGCAUCGCUAGACUCCAGAGCUCCAACGCCUGUCCAGACGCCACAGCCCAUAUCAUUGAAGAAGAGGAAGAAGACCAAACCUCACAACUGCAGCAAAGAGCUCAACAUUCUCGCUGCGUAUCGGCCCUCAUCCUAUUCGCCACCCGAAAGCACGUUGACGAAACCAAUGGGCUGGGAGAACACUAAGCUACUACCCAGUGAGAGGCUGAGAAGACAGUUAGAGGAAAUGGAAGGGGAAAUUAUGGCCAAGCGGAGAAUGAAAGAGUACCAAGCCAGGAUCGGCCUUAGCAAUGGGAGGCAGAAGGCAGUGCGACAAGAAGGAAGGGCCAAGAAGAGAGAUGAUAAUGAGCCUUCUGGAUAUGACGUUGCGAUUACUAAACGACCUUGACGGACCCACCCAUCAGUGGCAAUAAUUAUAGACUAUCUGCUUAUUGUGACCUAUACUCUCCCGUCAUGCGAUGUGAGACGCCUUUACAGCGUCUGUACACGCAUGUUCCUUGCGAAUCUUGCGCAAUUGAUAAACUCUAUCUGAGUUAUGUCAGACAAUCGAGGGUUCAGUAUUGAGUGAUAGUAUGCUGAAAAGAUGUCAUCGCACUUGCAUUGCUUUGGAAGGAAAUGUGGAAGUGUUUUAGGGGACUUAUGCGUAGUAUCCGUGCGGAAUUUGUUGAAAUCAACUAAGGCCCCCGUGGCGCAAUCGGUAGCGCGCACGACUCUUAGAGUCUGCUUGAACCGGUUACGGGCCAUCAU